rnacentral:lncRNA from 1 species
GGGGGGUGGAGUAGAAUCAGGGAGGUUUUUUUCUUUCUUUCUCUUUUUUAGACUGAGCAAAGCAGUACAGCUGGGGGAGGUCAAGGUUAAAAUUAACCGAGAGGAUGGAGCGACAAGAGUGAGUCAAUGAGAAAUGCUAGAAGCACUAAUUUUAAAGAGCCCUCUCUACUUCCGAUAUUGGGGUUAAUUGCCAAAAUGAAGCGGUGUGCCUUGAAAUGGAUCAGCAGCUUGUGCGAAUAUUUAAUUUCCAACCAUUGUACUAAACAACCAUGGAGACGCUAUUCAGUACGUACUACAAGUAUGGAAGGAAUAAAUAUAACUUCAUAUGUGGGAAACAAGGAAAUCCAGAGAAGCAAAAUCGGGACAAUUUAGGAAGAGAGCUGGUGUUAAAGCUGAGGGCCCAUUCUCCACACAGAAGCAAGGCCAAGAAGCUGGUGUAUUCCCCCCUUGCUCUAUGUCUUCUGCUGGUUGGGUGUCAAUAAAGGUGAAGCCUUGGGGGACAGUGCAGCCCCAUCAUGGAAGGAGUCUGGGCUCUGAAUCACUUGGAGGAAGAUUGUCUUCUGACUGUUGGGUAAGUAA